rnacentral:lncRNA from 1 species
GCCACGAGGUCUGUACCCUUUAGGGAGCAGCCACUGGUGCAAAGUGAUCAAUCCAAUGGGAUCUAGAAUUCAGUCUGGGACUAGAUUGAACAAAGUAGGAGGAUCCCUGAAGGGCAAGGGUAGGUAUGACAAGACCCUUUCUGUGGUAUUUGGCAGGUAUGGAUUGGCCCUUGGUGUGUCUUUGUGGUGGCAUGGCAAUCAUUAGGAAGGAGUGCUAUCCAGCUGUGAUUGCCCACCAUGAACUAGAGGAGAAGAUCUGGAAUUUCAAACAUGGUGGGCUAAACCGUGGGCAUGUAAAACAUGGUUGCUGAGCUGAAAUCCCUCGUCCUGCCAGGACUACGUGUCUACACUCUAAAACAUGGCAGAGCUGGGUGUUUCUGGAUAGUGGUUGAAGUCCUAAAGCUGAGGACAGAAGACAGAGCAUGUUUCCAUGUCCUAGUGCAUGGAUUCCCAUCUGGCAGAGGCUAAGCAGACCUUUACCAUCCCACGAAGAUUCCUGGAAAGAGGAAGUCACAGAGUGAUGCGCUGAGGACUGUAGGACACAGCACUGUGGCAUUUGCUCUCUCUUUCCCAUGGCAUCCAGAAUUUAUCAAAACUGAACUCAGCUUCUGUCUCCACCUACCUUCUCUGCCUCUCUGGAAUUCCUUUAGCAUGUUCUUCUCCACGAAGCAAGGAACCUAUAGAAUUAAGGAAAGGUGGCUGCAGGAAAUGGACUCUGUGUUUAUUCUGCUCUCUCUCCCUCUCUCUGGGUGUCUGUUGGCCUUGGCUCAGCUUCGAGCUUUCUGGGAACCCAAAGCCCUGGCUGAUGGCGUUGUUGGACCUGGGUUCCUCUGAGGAAGAUCUGUCUGAGAGAGAAGAGGAGAUAAAGCUGAGACGUUAAAUGUUUCCAACAAAAGCUAUUAGGGCAGAAUUUCCUGAUUCAGCACUUCCCGGCAUUUUUUGAGGUUUCUCCACAGACAACGUACAGUUACUUUUUUUUGUAUGUGUGCAUGUGGUUUUCUUUAUUUAGUUUUUUUCUCCCCCUAAGCUUAUGGGUUUUCUUUGAUGAGAUGGUUGUGCAAUCCUGGCAUUGCCAGGAAACGCUGGUAAGUUGCUGGUGGCUGCUUACGCUCAGUGCCAGGGGAGACCCAAGCAUGGCUCCUGACUCUCAGUGGUGGGCAGAACUGCUAUCACCUGUGUACCCCUGAGCUGGGCUCCUGGCAGCUACAGCUCUUGAGCUCUGUCCCUUGCUAGCACUGUGGAGCUUGAGUUUAUUGACUUAUGAGUCACAUGGUCCUUGGCUUUUGUGCUGGGUUGAGCUGUAUCUUCCCACAGUGGUAUGCUGAAGUCCCUGUUCCCUGUACGACAGGAUGUGACCAGAUUAUUGUGAGACAUUGUUUCUGUUCAGCCGUUCCACUCCUGGGAGCUAAUAAUCUACUCGGAGGCAGAAAGCCUUCAUAGGAAACAGGUCACAAGGCACGGCAUUACAGAAUUUCAGGACCGCAGAAUCUGUGCCCUGGAGCAGCCAAGCAGUCCUUGACAGUGGCAUCUCCUUAGACACACAGCUGGGUUCCCAGAAAGCCAUCGUCUGGCCUCUCUCCCUAGACUGGUGAGUUUCUCUGUGCCUAAGCUUUCUUCUUUGCAAAGCUAGGUUUACUUGUACGGAUUUUACGCUUGAUAAGAGAAUGGUCAGGCAGAGGGAGACAAACUGUAGCUUCAAGAGGACAGAGUGCCUCCUCACUGACCAGGGAAGAUGUGGCUGGUUUAUGGAAGAAGAAUCUCAUGGGCGGACAAAUGCUCGAAGCUCACCGACAGGACCCACCACCAAGGGAUUAGAAAGGACUGCACAUGGCCCCUGACAUAAAGAGGCUUAUUUGUCUAGAGGACCUCAUCUGUCAAAGUGAGCUGGGAGAGGCCAUCCGAGAAUCACAGUGUUUUGCCAGGUGUUAAGGAAGCACUAGGUCCUGAUCCUAGGUUGCAGUCCUGUUUGUGGGGCUCCCCUGCUUCCGGCGCUCCCCUGCUUUGGAGAUUUCUUUCUUUCUCGUUUCAUCCUCUGUAAGGACAAAGACAAAGACCUGGCUUCAGGGUCCUGCCACACACGAGCUGUGCAGCCGUUUGUGAGAUUUCAAGUUUGCUUGUGCUCAGCCUUUUCAUUUUCAUAAACGAGAAAAAUAAGACCUGCUUUUAAAUGCUUCUGGCCUCAGGUCUAAAUGGAAGCCAGCAUAGCAUGCCUAUCAUAGCAGAGAGUGAUUGGUCAAUGUCCACCAUGUUCACAUAGGUGAUUUGACUCUGGUAUGGCAUCUGGGGCGAGUGGUGACUCUUAGUAGCUGGUCUUGAAAUUCAUUUCAGGAUAGGUACUGUCCACUUUGUUCAAGAGUUGGGGUAGCACUGAUCUCUGAGAAGCUGAAUCUGAAGAAGAGUCUAGCCAAGGGAUCUUGGCUUUCUCCAAAGUUCAUGGACUUAGGCUAGCAGACCCUGAACACUCAUGCUGUGGCCAGGGGCAGCAAUAAUGACUGCCUGGGCCCAUAUUACUUCUUCUCUUCUGCCACUGGCCUGAACCAAUACAACCAAUUGUUCCACUCUUCCAUUUGGUAACCUGGAAACUUCUGAAGAUCUAUGACAACCGCAUUGCCAUUUCUGAGGAGAAAAUGAACAAAAAGACAGCUAUGUGGCAGAGGCAAGGAUCAGGCAAGUCUCCAAAAUUUGGCAGAAAGGGUUGGGGUUUGAAAGACAAAUGUAACUAGAAAAAGAACUUGUUCUUCCUCCUUCUACCCCCAUCCCCACAACCACCCCAUCUCUGGGAUUCUAUUUCCAAGAUAUUUAAUUUUGAAAACUUAAACAAGAAAGUGGUUUUAAUCUUCAAGGGCUCUCAUUAAUCACCGUGCCUGGCCCAGUGGAGAGAGAGAGAGAUGACUCACUUUUACAGUUGAUUUCGUGGUAAUGGAGGGUCAAGGCCUGCCCCUACACUGCCCCUUUGUCGAGCUAAUGGAGAAAGCUCUCACUGAGGAAGCACCCAUUCUGGAGCAAUUUUUCAAUGGAAAAUUGCUGACAGGAAUAGCCACCGACAAGAAAAGAUUUCUCUUAGGGAAACAAAGUAAGUGGCUCGGCAGAAUUAGAAACACAGAGCCUGCCUUGAAGAGUUGUGGGGUUCAAUGGCAGGAUAGAGCAAAGGAAAGGCUUUGGUGUGUGCCAUAUUAAGUAUCUCUGCAAUAAAUAAUGAAUCUUUACUACAGCCCUUCUUGGUGCCAGGCACUGUGCUGGGGACCUUUUCUAUGUCAUUGUUUGAUCCUUAUAUAUUAUGUGACAGGUGACAUCAUGUCCCCUCAUUUACGGAUACAAAUUCUGACAUGCAUGCCAAAUGACUUGUUCUAUAAAUGACUUUUCUCAUUGAUAUAAUAAAAGACCCAACGAAAGCAACUUAAGGCAGCCAUGGUUUGUUCUAGCUUACUGUUUGAGGGGCUACAGUCUUCACAGUGGAGGUGUGUGAGUCAGCUGCUCAGAUCUCAUCUACCAUGAGGAAGAAGAGAGAAAUGCAUGCUAGGAGAUCACUCGCUUCCUACUUUUUCUUCAGUCUGGGAAUCCCAGCCCGAAAGAUGUUGCUGCACACAUACAGGGGGAUCCUCUUCAGGUAAAUCUCUAUGGAAUACCUCCACAGAUGCACUCAGAGACUCAUCUUCUAGGUGCAUCUCCAAAUCUAGUCAAGCCGACAACAAAGAUGGACCAUCACAGUUGCUAAGGCCUCACAGCUAGUAAGAGAUAGAACCAGGCUCUGUAUCCAUAUGGUUUGGUGCUGAAGCUGAAACACACUUCCACUCACCGUGAAGUAGGCAACACAAGCUCACCUCUCUAGGCUACAGGCUGAGGGCUUGCUGUAAUGGAGCAAUGGGUCACUUUCCAUUUGCAGUGACUACUGGGGAUUGUGGAGGAGAGUAGUGUGCUGUCCCACUACUUUCCACAGAACAGUCUCAGGAUCUGUUUUUAGAGGUUUGGAGUGCUGCAGCACCAGUGGGUGAGAGGAUGGGCUGUUGACUUACUGUGCA